AAAUUGAAGAGUUUGAUCAUGGCUCAGAUUGAACGCUGGCGGCAGGCCUAACACAUGCAAGUCGAACGGUAACAGGAAGAAGCUUGCUUCUUUGCUGACGAGUGGCGGACGGGUGAGUAAUGUCUGGGAAACUGCCUGAUGGAGGGGGAUAACUACUGGAAACGGUAGCUAAUACCGCAUAACGUCGCAAGACCAAAGAGGGGGACCUUCGGGCCUCUUGCCAUCGGAUGUGCCCAGAUGGGAUUAGCUAGUAGGUGGGGUAACGGCUCACCUAGGCGACGAUCCCUAGCUGGUCUGAGAGGAUGACCAGCCACACUGGAACUGAGACACGGUCCAGACUCCUACGGGAGGCAGCAGUGGGGAAUAUUGCACAAUGGGCGCAAGCCUGAUGCAGCCAUGCCGCGUGUAUGAAGAAGGCCUUCGGGUUGUAAAAGUACUUUCAGCGGGGAGGAAGGGAGUAAAGUUAAUACCUUUGCUCAUUGACGUUACCCGCAGAAGAAGCACCGGCUAACUCCGUGCCAGCAGCCGCGGUAAUACGGAGGGUGCAAGCGUUAAUCGGAAUUACUGGGCGUAAAGCGCACGCAGGCGGUUUGUUAAGUCAGAUGUGAAAUCCCCGGGCUCAACCCGGGAACUGCAUCUGAUACUGGCAAGCUUGAGUCUCGUAGAGGGGGGUAGAAUUCCAGGUGUAGCGGUGAAAUGCGUAGAGAUCUGGAGGAAUACCGGUGGCGAAGGCGGCCCCCUGGACGAAGACUGACGCUCAGGUGCGAAAGCGUGGGGAGCAAACAGGAUUAGAUACCCUGGUAGUCCACGCCGUAAACGAUGUCGACUUGGAGGUUGUGCCCUUGAGGCGUGGCUUCCGGAGCUAACGCGUUAAGUCGACCGCCUGGGGAGUACGGCCGCAAGGUUAAAACUCAAAUGAAUUGACGGGGGCCCGCACAAGCGGUGGAGCAUGUGGUUUAAUUCGAUGCAACGCGAAGAACCUUACCUGGUCUUGACAUCCACGGAAGUUUUCAGAGAUGAGAAUGUGCCUUCGGGAACCGUGAGACAGGUGCUGCAUGGCUGUCGUCAGCUCGUGUUGUGAAAUGUUGGGUUAAGUCCCGCAACGAGCGCAACCCUUAUCCUUUGUUGCCAGCGGUCCGGCCGGGAACUCAAAGGAGACUGCCAGUGAUAAACUGGAGGAAGGUGGGGAUGACGUCAAGUCAUCAUGGCCCUUACGACCAGGGCUACACACGUGCUACAAUGGCGCAUACAAAGAGAAGCGACCUCGCGAGAGCAAGCGGACCUCAUAAAGUGCGUCGUAGUCCGGAUUGGAGUCUGCAACUCGACUCCAUGAAGUCGGAAUCGCUAGUAAUCGUGGAUCAGAAUGCCACGGUGAAUACGUUCCCGGGCCUUGUACACACCGCCCGUCACACCAUGGGAGUGAGUUGCAAAAGAAGUAGGUAGCUUAACCUUCGGGAGGGCGCUUACCACUUUGUGAUUCAUGACUGGGGUGAAGUCGUAACAAGGUAACCGUAGGGGAACCUGCGGUUGGAUCACCUCCUUA
rnacentral:rRNA from 1 species